rnacentral:rRNA from 1 species
GGUUAAGCGACUAAGCGUACACGGUGGAUGCCCUGGCAGUCAGAGGCGAUGAAGGGCGUGCUAAUCUGCGAUAAGCGCCGGUAAGGUGAUAUGAACCGUUAUAACCGGCGAUACCCGAAUGGGGAAACCCAGUGUGAUUCGUCACACUAUCAUUAACUGAAUCCAUAGGUUAAUGAGGCGAACCGGGGGAACUGAAACAUCUAAGUACCCCGAGGAAAAGAAAUCAACCGAGAUUCCCCCAGUAGCGGCGAGCGAACGGGGAGGAGCCCAGAGCCUGAAUCAGCAUGUGUGUUAGUGGAAGCGUCUGGAAAGGUGCGCGAUACAGGGUGACAGCCCCGUACACAAAAGCGCAUGUGCUGUGAGCUCGAUGAGUAGGGCGGGACACGUGGUAUCCUGUCUGAAUAUGGGGGGACCAUCCUCCAAGGCUAAAUACUCCUGACUGACCGAUAGUGAACCAGUACCGUGAGGGAAAGGCGAAAAGAACCCCGGCGAGGGGAGUGAAAAAGAACCUGAAACCGUGUACGUACAAGCAGUGGGAGCACAGGUUUACCUGUGUGACUGCGUACCUUUUGUAUAAUGGGUCAGCGACUUAU